rnacentral:rRNA from 1 species
CCUACGGGUGGCAGCAGUGGGGAAUAUUGGACAAUGGGCGAAAGCCUGAUCCAGCCAUGCCGCGUGUGUGAAGAAGGCCUUCGGGUUGUAAAGCACUUUCAGUGGGGAAGAAAGCCUUGGGGCUAAUACCCUCGAGGAAGGACAUCACCCACAGAAGAAGCACCGGCUAACUCCGUGCCAGCAGCCGCGGUAAUACGGAGGGUGCGAGCGUUAAUCGGAAUUACUGGGCGUAAAGCGCGCGUAGGCGGUCUGAUAAGCCGGUUGUGAAAGCCCCGGGCUCAACCUGGGAACGGCAUCCGGACCUGUCAGGCUAGAGUGCAGGAGAGGAAGGUAGAAUUCCCGGUGUAGCGGUGAAAUGCGUAGAGAUCGGGAGGAAUACCAGUGGCGAAGGCGGCCUUCUGGACUGACACUGACGCUGAGGUGCGAAAGCGUGGGUAGCAAACAGGAUUAGAUACCCUAGUAGUC